rnacentral:ncRNA from 1 species
GCAGAGUAGAGAUCUGCGGGUCAAGUGUCCGGAGGACGGGGAGUUGUCUCCGGGACGAAAAAAGACUUCUUUUGCCGUGCAGAUCUCGCAUCCCGCUGC